rnacentral:rRNA from 1 species
UGGGGAAUCUUGGACAAUGGGGGCAACCCUGAUCCAGCCAUGCCGCGUGGGUGAAGAAGGCCUUAGGGUUGUAAAGCACUUUCAGUAGAGAAGAAAAGCUUACGGUUAAUACCCGUGAGUCUUGACGUAACCUACAGAAGAAGCACCGGCUAACUCCGUGCCAGCAGCCGCGGCAAUACGGAGGGUGCGAGCGUUAAUCGGAAUUACUGGGCGUAAAGCGCGCGUAGGUGGAUUUGUAAGUCGGAUGUGAAAGCCCAGGGCUUAACCUUGGAAUUGCAUUCGAUACUGCAUGACUAGAGUAUGGUAGAGGGAAGUGGAAUUUCCGGUGUAGCGGUGAAAUGCGUAGAUAUCGGAAGGAACACCAGUGGCGAAGGCGACUUCCUGGGCCAAUACUGACACUGAGGUGCGAAAGCGUGGGGAGCAAACAGGAUUAGAUACCCCGGUAGUCC